AUCAGGUGGCAUAAAUUUCCUAGCUUUACGCUUAGGAAGUGUUCCGAAACCGGUACUUUUUUGCAAAGAAUAGGAAUUUAAAAAAACAUUUAGGCUUUGUUUUUAUUUAAUGUAGUGUACAUUGUAGAUUUAUACAAUGGUAGUGUAUCAUUUACUACAGAAUUAAAUCAUCGACGGAGUAAUUUAAUGCACCUUGCUGUGGUGCAGGGGCUUAAGUCCUAAGGCAUUCUCGGCAUCUUCCCACCGGGAUUAGGAGUGCUGCCUAGCACCUCUCACACCCGUUGACAGAAGCCACAU